rnacentral:rRNA from 1 species
UACGAAGGGGGCUAGCGUUGCUCGGAAUCACUGGGCGUAAAGCGCACGUAGGCGGAUUGCUAAGUCAGGGGUGAAAUCCUGGAGCUCAACUCCAGAACUGCCUUUGAUACUGGCGAUCUUGAGUCCGGGAGAGGUGAGUGGAACUGCGAAGUGUAGAGGUGAAAUUCGUAGAUAUUCGCAAGAACACCAGUGGCGAAGGCGGCCAUCUGGAUCAACACUGACGACUGAGGCA